rnacentral:rRNA from 1 species
CCUACGGGCGGCAGCAGUGAGGAAUAUUUGUCAAUGGACGAGAGUCUGAACCAGCCAAGUAGCGUGAAGGAUGACUGCUCUAUGGGUUGUAAACUUCUUUUAUAUGGGAAUAAAAUGUUCCACGUGUGGGAUUAUGUAUGUACAAUAUGAAUAAGGUUCGGCUAACUCCGUGCCAGCAGCAGCGGUAAUACGGAGGCUCCGAGCGUUAUCCGGAGUUAUUGGGGUUAAGGGGAGCGUAGGUGGAUUGUUAAGUCAGUUGUGAAAGUUUGCGGCUCAACCGUAAGAUUGCAGUUGAAACUGGGAGUCUUGAGUACAGUAGAGGUGGGCGGAAUUCGUGGUGUAGCGGUGAAAUGCUUAGAUAUCACGAAGAACUCCGAUUGCGAAGGCAGCUCACUGGACUGCAACUGACACUGAGGCUCGAAAGUGAGGGUAUCAAACAGGAUUAGAUACCCGAGUAGUC